UACGGGGGGGGCAAGCGUUGUUCGGAAUUACUGGGCGUAAAGGGCCAGUAGGCGGCCAACUAAGUCGGAUGUGAAAUCCCCAGGCUUAACCUGGGAACUGCAUCCGAUACUGGAUGGCUUGAAUCCGGGAGAGGGAUGCGGAAUUCCAGGUGUAGCGGUGAAAUGCGUAGAUAUCUGGAGGAACACCGGUGGCGAAGGCGGCAUCCUGGACCGGCAUUGACGCUGAGGAGCGAAAGCCAGGGGAGCAAACGGG
rnacentral:rRNA from 1 species